CACGAAAACCUAUAAAAGUUAAAUACGACGUUUAUUAGCCAUAGUUUUCAAGUUCCAGUUUAGCUGAAAACAGUUUUCGGUAAAAGAUGAAAUACUUGCAAUAUUUUAUUUUGGGACUCCUUUUAGUUCUAACCAUUGACUAUAGCGAGUGCAUGCGGCCGCCACCGAAGUAUGACCCACAGGACUUGGUGGACUGUAGACCUGGGUCCUACGUACCAAGUCAUUACUACCACAUCGCCUGUUUGUGCGUGAGACCCGGAGUCGCAGACGAGAAUAAAUGCAUCGAUACCUAUUCAGUAUAGGGUGGUA